UUUAUGGAGAGUUUGAUCCUGGCUCAGGAUGAACGCUGGCGGCGUGCCUAAUACAUGCAAGUCGAGCGAACGGACGAGAAGCUUGCUUCUCUGAUGUUAGCGGCGGACGGGUGAGUAACACGUGGAUAACCUACCUAUAAGACUGGGAUAACUUCGGGAAACCGGAGCUAAUACCGGAUAAUAUUUUGAACCGCAUGGUUCAAAAGUGAAAGACGGUCUUGCUGUCACUUAUAGAUGGAUCCGCGCUGCAUUAGCUAGUUGGUAAGGUAACGGCUUACCAAGGCAACGAUGCAUAGCCGACCUGAGAGGGUGAUCGGCCACACUGGAACUGAGACACGGUCCAGACUCCUACGGGAGGCAGCAGUAGGGAAUCUUCCGCAAUGGGCGAAAGCCUGACGGAGCAA
rnacentral:rRNA from 1 species